GAGUCAUUAACAAACUUCGUUUUCAGUAGCUGGUGUCUUGGCGGUCGCUGGUAACAACCUUUAUUCUGUGUGGAGGAUUGUUGGUGGCGAUGAAAAAAAUGAAGAAAGCGAAGGAGGAAAAGCUGGAGAAAGAACGGAACCGAGGCAUUGGGAAACCGUUACUGGGAGGGCCCUUCUCACUUGUCAGUCAUGAGGGACAGCCCAAGACCAACAAGGACUACAUUGGCCAGUGGGUGCUGAUCUACUUUGGCUUCACGCAUUGCCCUGAUAUCUGUCCUGAUGAAUUGGAGAAAAUGAUUCAAGUGGUAGAAGAAAUUGAAGGAAUUCCGUCUUUGCCAAAUCUGACCCCACUCUUCAUCACCAUUGAUCCUGAGAGGGACAAUGAAGAAGCUAUCGCCAGAUAUGUAAAAGAAUUUUCUCCUAAGCUGAUUGGAUUGACUGGUACCAAAGAACAGAUUGAGCAAGUCGCCAGAGCUUACCGUGUAUAUUACAGCGAAGGUCCCAAAGAUGAAGACAAUGAUUACAUAGUGGAUCACACAAUAAUAAUGUAUCUCCUUGGACCAGAUGGUGACUUUGUGGACUAUUAUGGCCAGAAUAAGAGGAGCUCUGAGAUUUCUGCUUCUAUUGCUUCACACAUGAGAAAAUACAGAUCCUAAAAGAGAAGAUUUUCAAAGAUUGAUGCAAACAUCUGCUGUAGGUUUGGCUGUAAUUGUGCAUUGUAUUCAGUGGAGUUACCAUUAUGAAAAAUCAGUAAACAGCCUUCCCAACGGAUAUUAUCUGCAGCAAGAUUUCAGCCAUGAGAGGAAGCUUGGGAUGUCUGUGAAACAUUGUUGGGAGCAAAAAAUGGAAAACACUCUGGAACCUCUGUAUCACUGGCCAGACAUCAGUGGAGGAUGGUCGCAGCAGGAAGAUGGUUACUGUCAGACCUGAUGAUGUGUAUGUCAUGAAUCCCCCUACAUUUGGCAGACUUGAGGAUAUGGCUAUGCUAACCUGCCCACAUGAACUUGCUGUCCUGUAUAACCUCAAGGACGACUACAGCUUCUGGAUGAUCUGUGUAAGUACCCAUUCAUUGUGAAGGAGAAAAUCCAAGUGCCAGGGAGAUGGACUUUAAUGACUCUCCUCUUCUGUUUCUUUUCUGUAGACCUACUCAGGUCUCUUCUGUGUCACUGUCAACCCCUACAAGUGGCUGCUGGUAUACAACCCAGAGGUGAUGUUGGCCUACUGAGGCAAAAAGUGCCCGGUGGCCGCUCCACCUGUCUUCUCCAUCUCUGACAACACCUUUCAGCCCAUGUCAAACGAUGAGCUUCAGCAAAGAACUGUGUUAAAACAUUGCUUCUGCUAAAGGGUCUUCCUAUCCACCACAGGCUCACUUGCCUUCUUUGCCACCUUUUACUGUGUGCUACCCCGCUUUUUUAUUCUGUGUUAUGUUGCAAAUUAGCUGCUUUGGCUCCUGACUCUUGAACUGUGAAAUUACAGAUGCCAAUUUUGUCUCUGGAUGACACAAAACCAGCUCCAGACUGUUUUCCCUGUGUCUUGAAAUAAGCUUUAUUUUUUGAAAUGUGUUGUUGUACUCCACAUCAUAUGCAUUUCUGGUAUAGGCACUAAGCUAAGCGCAGUAACAGGAAACAGCGCAAAAUGUAGCUGUACUUGGAUAGGAUGCGCUAUCUGGGAAGUCCCUAUUCUACAGACCAGCACAUAGCUUCAGGCAACAGCGGGUAUAUUCAGAACAUAGCUGGAAGAAACCUUUUUGCCAAAAUAGAUGGUUUCAGUUGAAUUAAGCCCUGUCUCAUAUUAAAUAGUAAUAAAGGUAUGAAUAGUAAAGACAAAAGAAAAGAGGAGAGUGCAAAUGGAAAAAGAUGGAAGGGAGGCAAAAAUGGGCUAUGGGUAGCAAAAGAGAGGAAGAAGGAGAGACCAUGCAUCUUUUUAGUUCUGCUUGCAGGGUCUGUGGUUCUCUCCCUUUGAUGGACACUAGUUCACUGGUCACCUGAGAAGGAAUACGCUUUCCUACAGCUUCUCUGACCACAGGUAUUUUUCCCUUUGACAUAUCAUGAAAAUGAGUAUUCUAAUCACGUAAGUAGAUCUGUUGCUUUGAAUUCUAUCUCCAACAAAAAGCUGGCAGGUAAUUCUUCGUGCUGUGCUUUCUUUCCAUACUGGAGAAUACAGCGCAGGGAAGACUGAACACAAAACCUGUUGUCCAAUACUUUGCAACAAUUGCAGCAAGUGGAGACCUGGCCAAGAAGAAGGAAUCCUGGAUAAAAGUAUGAGGAGAGAAGGCUUGACAGAGGAACAGUUCAGGACUUUAUCAACUUGUGGCUGUGGACAGCAUUGGCAACGUACAUUGGCCUCAAAAUAUGAAGCCUUUUUUAUUAGAUUCAGCCACUCUCAAAAGAGCCACUGUCAGAUACAAGCUACUGGGGCUGCCAUUGUCACUGCUGUUGCCCGGGUGUAGCUUCCCCUGGAUUGAAAAUAGGUCUGGAAAACUGGAGUCUGGGAAUAAUCAGAACCUCCAGUUUCUUAAUACAGACCAGACUGUGCCUAUGGCUGGAAGAUGAGAGUUCUGACCACAGGAGAAACUCUGAACAUGAGCAAAAUGAAAUACUUAUUAUUUACACAGAGUGCUGAUUCUUGGUGCUAUAGCUGAGAAGCUAGCACAGUAACAGGCUGUUUAUCUGAAAGAAAAAAAAGCACUUUGUGGCAUACACAAUCAGGUGAGUUGUAAUAUAGUAAAUCUUUCCCACCACGUGUCCUGUGAUGUUUUCGAUGAUUAUUCAAAUAUUCUCACAGGGUACACUUGAAGAUCAAAUCAUCAGUGCUAAUCCACCACCGGAAGCCUUUGGGAAUGACAAGACUAUGAGAAAUGACAACAGCUCACAGUUUACUUACUGGAAAAGUCAAGAGUCACUUUCCAGCUCAAAGCUGAGAGAGGUUAACACAUUUUCUACCAGAUCCUCUCCAAUAAGAAGCCUGAACUGCUUGGUGCACCAGGCACACCAUUUCCAAGUCAGUCUAUGAGAAGCUCUUCUUGUGGAUGGUGAUGUGCAAUAAGCAACAACUGGAUACAAAGCUGUCAAGACAGCACUUCACUGGGGUCUAAGACAUUGCUGGAUUUGAGAUUGUUGAGGUCUGGUUUUGCAUAGCGCUCUCAGACUUUUCACUGUCUUUCAAAGAUUUUUUUUCCCUUCAUUUGACUUUUCUGAUCUUCAUCCCUCCCCACCUUGAUACAGCCCUCAAGAGCAAGAUCCAUCACUCACUCUUUUAAGACAAAGAAAUGGCCGAGGCAUAGCCAGGAACCUACUGUCUUCCUCCCUAGAGAAUCUGUAUUUAAUUUUAGGAUCACCCAGAUACAUCUCCGCUGCAGGCUACAUCAGUCAUGUGGUGCACAGUCCAAGUCUUCUGCAAGCCUGGACUACCCAUGACAUACCUUUUGUCCUAUUUUCAAAACCCUUCAUGGACAGCCUGGCUGAUCUUGCCUUGACGUUUCUGCAAAAUAAAUUGACUGGAGUCAGUUUAACAAUAUUAAGACAUCUACACAAAUAUUAGUUCAACAGCUUUGAGCAGCUCUGCAUCAACUUAACGAACGAGAAACUGCAACAGUUCUUCAACUACCACAUGUUUGUGCUGGAGCAGCAGGUGUACAAGAAGGAGGGAACUGAAUGGAUGUUCACUGACUUUGGGAUGGACCUGUCUGCCAGCACUGGGCUCAAAGAAGAGGUGAAUUAAGCUGUCAACUUGAAGAAAAAGAAAGUAUAACAUCACAGCUGUCCAGAAGCAAACAGGCAAUUGUGCAGCAAGUAGAAGAACUUAAAAGGUAGCUGGAGGAAGAGACCAAGGCCAAGAGCAUCCUGGCCCACGCCUCGCAGUCUGCUCACCAUGACUGUGACUUGCUCCGGGAACAAUAUGAAGAGGAGCA